UAGCUCAGUUGGCAGAGCAUUGGGCUAGUAUUCCAAAGGUCGUAGGUUCGAUUCCCAC
rnacentral:tRNA from 1 species